CCCUGGCUCAGAUUGAACGCUGGCGGCAGGCCUAACACAUGCAAGUCGAGCGGAUGAAGGGAGCUUGCUCCCUGAUUCAGCGGCGGACGGGUGAGUAAUGCCUAGGAAUCUGCCUGGUAGUGGGGGACAACGUUUCGAAAGGAACGCUAAUACCGCAUACGUCCUACGGGAGAAAGCAGGGGACCUUCGGGCCUUGCGCUAUCAGAUGAGCCUAGGUCGGAUUAGCUAGUUGGUGAGGUAAUGGCUCACCAAGGCGACGAUCCGUAACUGGUCUGAGAGGAUGAUCAGUCACACUGGAACUGAGACACGGUCCAGACUCCUACGGGAGGCAGCAGUGGGGAAUAUUGGACAAUGGGCGAAAGCCUGAUCCAGCCAUGCCGCGUGUGUGAAGAAGGUCUUCGGAUUGUAAAGCACUUUAAGUUGGGAGGAAGGGCAGUAAAUUAAUACUUUGCUGUUUUGACGUUACCGACAGAAUAAGCACCGGCU
rnacentral:rRNA from 1 species